CGAACGCUGGCGGCGGGCUUAACACAUGCAAGUCGAACGGAAAAGGCCUGCUUUUUUGGGGUGCUCGAGUGGCGAAAGGGGGAGUAACACGUGAGUAAACUGCCCCUGACUUUGGGAUAAAUUCAGGGAAAUGGGGGUAAUACCGGAAAAGGGGUCCUGCCGCCUGGGGGGGGGUGGAAAGUUUUGGCGGGUGGGGAUGGACUCGCGGCUUAUCAGCUUGUUGGUGGGGUAGUGGCUUACCAAGGCUUUGACGGGUAGCCGGCCUGAGAGGGUGACCGGCCACAUUGGGACUGAGAUACGGCCCAGACUCCUACGGGAGGCAGCAGUGGGGAAUAUUGCACAAUGGGCGGAAGCCUGAUGCAGCAACGCCGCGUGCGGGAUGACGGCCUUCGGGUUGUAAACCGCUUUCGCCUGUGACGAAGCGUGAGUGACGGUAAUGGGUAAAGAAGCACCGGCUAACUACGUG
rnacentral:rRNA from 1 species